ensembl:snRNA U1 U1 spliceosomal RNA
AUACUUACCUGAUAGGGGAGGCACCAUGAUAAUUUCGGUGGUCCUCCCAGGGCGAGGCAUAUCCAUGGCACUACAGGUGGGGUGACCCCUGCGAUUUCCCCAAAUGCGGGAAACUCGACUGUAUAAUUAGUGGUACCUGGGAACUGCUUUCGCGCUAUCCCCCA